GUGGGGUGACUGCGUACCUUUUGUAUAAUGGGUCAGCGACUUAUAUUCUGUAGCAAGGUUAACCGAAUAGGGGAGCCGGAGGGAAACCGAGUCUUAAUUGGGCGUUAAGUUGCAGGGUAUAGACCCGAAACCCGGUGAUCUAGCCAUGGGCAGGUUGAAGGUUGGGUAACACUAACUGGAGGACCGAACCGACUAAUGUUGAAAAAUUAGCGGAUGACCUGUGGCUGGGGGUGAAAGGCCAAUCAAACCGGGAGAUAGCUGGUUCUCCCCGAAAGCUAUUUAGGUAGCGCCUCGUGAAUUCAUCUCCGGGGGUAGAGCACUGUUUCGGCUAGGGGGCCAUCCCGGCUUACCAACCCGAUGCAAACUGCGAAUACCGGAGAAUGUUAUCACGGGAGACACACGGCGGGUGCUAACGUCCGUCGUGAAGAGGGAAACAACCCAGACCGCCAGCUAAGGUCCCAAAGUCAUGGUUAAGUGGGAAACGAUGUGGGAAGGCCCAGACAGCCAGGAUGUUGGCUUAGAAGCAGCCAUCAUUUAAAGAAAGCGUAAUAGCUCACUGGUCGAGUCGGCCUGCGCGGAAGAUGUAACGGGGCUAAACCAUGCACCGAAGCUGCGGCAGCGAACGUAUCACCCAAGACAACUUUACGGAGUUGACGAUUGACGGAGCGAAGCGACGUCAAAGCGUUCAUUAAAGUCGAGUUGGCUUAGGGAUACGUUCGUUGGGUAGGGGAGCGUUCUGUAAGCCUGUGAAGGUGUGUCGUGAGGCAUGCUGGAGGUAUCAGAAGUGCGAAUGCUGACAUAAGUAACGAUAAAGCGGGUGAAAAGCCCGCUCGCCGGAAGACCAAGGGUUCCUGUCCAACGUUAAUCGGGGCAGGGUGAGUCGACCCCUAAGGCGAGGCCGAAAGGCGUAGUCGAUGGGAAACGGGUUAAUAUUCCCGUACUUGGUGUUACUGCGAAGGGGGGACGGAGAAGGCUAUGU
rnacentral:rRNA from 1 species